GAUGUACGCUGGCGGCGUGCCUAAUACAUGCAAGUCGAGCGAACGGACGAGAAGCUUGCUUCUCUGAUGUUAGCGGCGGACGGGUGAGUAACACGUGGAUAACCUACCUAUAAGACUGGGAUAACUUCGGGAAACCGGAGCUAAUACCGGAUAAUAUUUUGAACCGCAUGGUUCAAAAGUGAAAGACGGUCUUGCUGUCACUUAUAGAUGGAUCCGCGCUGCAUUAGCUAGUUGGUAAGGUAACGGCUUACCAAGGCAACGAUGCAUAGCCGACCUGAGAGGGUGAUCGGCCACACUGGAACUGAGACACGGUCCAGACUCCUACGGGAGGCAGCAGUAGGGAAUCUUCCGCAAUGGGCGAAAGCCUGACGGGGCAACGCCGCGUGAGUGAUGAAGGUCUUCGGAUCGUAAAACUCUGUUAUUAGGGAAGAACAUAUGUGUAAGUAACUGUGCACAUCUUGACGGUACCUAAUCAGAAAGCCACGGCUAACUACGUG
rnacentral:rRNA from 1 species